UACGGAGGAUGCGAGCGUUAUCCGGAUUUAUUGGGUUUAAAGGGUGCGUAGGCGGACGCUUAAGUCAGCGGUAAAAUUGCGGGGCUCAACCUCGUCGAGCCGUUGAAACUGUGUGCCUUGAGUGGGCGAGAAGUACGCGGAAUGCGUGGUGUAGCGGUGAAAUGCAUAGAUAUCACGCAGAACUCCGAUUGCGAAGGCAGCGUACCGGCGCCCUACUGACGCUGAAGCACGAAGGCGUGGGUAUCGAACAGG
rnacentral:rRNA from 1 species